UAAGCGUGGGGGCACCCUGACCGCAAUGCCGCGUGAGUGAAGAAGGCCUUCGGGUUGUAAAGCUCUUUUGUCAGGGAAGAAACAGCAGCUCUAACACAGUCUGCGAAUGACGGUACCUGAAGAAUAAGCACCGGCUAACUACGUGCCAGCAGCCGCGGUAAUACGUAGGGUGCAAGCGUUAAUCGGAAUUACUGGGCGUAAAGCGUGCGCAGGCGGUUAUACAAGACAGGCGUGAAAUCCCCGGGCUCAACCUGGGAAUGGCGCCUGUGACUGUAUAGCUAGAGUGUGUCAGAGGGGGGUAGAAUUCCACGUGUAGCAGUGAAAUGCGUAGAUAUGUGGAGGAAUACCAAUGGCGAAGGCAGCCCCCUGGGAUAACACUGACGCUCAUGCACGAAA
rnacentral:rRNA from 1 species